AACGAACGCUGGCGGCAUGCCUAACACAUGCAAGUCGAACGAACCCUUCGGGACUAGUGGCGCACGGGUGCGUAACGCGUGGGAACCUGCCCUUAGGUUCGGCAUAACUCUCCGAAAGGGGUGCUAAUACCGAAUAAUGUCUUCGGACCAAUGAUUUAUCGCCUUUGGAUGGGCCCGCGUUGGAUUCGCUAGUUGUUAGGGUAAAAGCCUACCAAGGCGUCGAUCCAUAGCUGGUCUGAGAGGAUGAUCAGCGACACUGGGACUGAGACGCGGCCCAGACUCCUACGGGAGGCAGGAGUGGGGAAUAUAGGACAAUGGGGGAAGUGCUGAUCCAGCAAUGACGGGAGAGUGAUGUAGGCCGGAGGGUUGUAAAGCUCUUUUACCCGGGAUGAUAAUGACAGUACCGGGAGAAUAAGCUCCGGCUAACUCCGUG
rnacentral:rRNA from 1 species